rnacentral:rRNA from 1 species
ACUUCUACGGGAGGCAGCAGUGGGGAAUUUUCCGCAAUGGGCGCAAGCCUGACAGAGCAAUACCGCGUGAGGGAUGAAGACUUACUGAGUUGUAAACCUCGGUGCCUUAAGGAAGAAGAUCUGACGGUACUUAAGGUGGAAAGCAUCGGCUAACUCCGUGCCAGCAGCCGCGGUAAU